rnacentral:rRNA from 1 species
AACGAACGCUGGCGGCGUGGAUAAGACAUGCAAGUCGAACGAGAGAAUUGCUAGCUUGCUAAUAAUUCUCUAGUGGCGCACGGGUGAGUAACACGUGAGUAACCUGCCCCCGAGAGCGGGAUAGCCCUGGGAAACUGGGAUUAAUACCGCAUAGUAUCGAAAGAUUAAAGCAGCAAUGCGCUUGGGGAUGGGCUCGCGGCCUAUUAGUUAGUUGGUGAGGUAACGGCUCACCAAGGCGAUGACGGGUAGCCGGUCUGAGAGGAUGUCCGGCCACACUGGAACUGAGACACGGUCCAGACACCUACGGGUGGCAGCAGUCGAGAAUCAUUCACAAUGGGGGAAACCCUGAUGGUGCGACGCCGCGUGGGGGAAUGAAGGUCUUCGGAUUGUAAACCCCUGUCAUGUGGGAGCAAAUUAAAAAGAUAGUACCACAAGAGGAAGAGACGGCUAACUCUGUGCCAGCAGCCGCGGUAAUACAGAGGUCUCAAGCGUUGUUCGGAAUCACUGGGCGUAAAGCGUGCGUAGGCUGUUUCGUAAGUCGUGUGUGAAAGGCGCGGGCUCAACCCGCGGACGGCACAUGAUACUGCGAGACUAGAGUAAUGGAGGGGGAACCGGAAUUCUUGGUGUAGCAGUGAAAUGCGUAGAUAUCGAGAGGAACACUCGUGGCGAAGGCGGGUUCCUGGACAUUAACUGACGCUGAGGCACGAAGGCCAGGGGAGCGAAAGAGAUUAGAUACCCCUGUAGUCCUGGCAGUAAACGGUGCACAAAAGGGUGUGCGGGGAAUCGACCCCCUGCGUGCCGGAGCUAACGCGUUAAGCGUGCCGCCUGGGGAGUACGGUCGCAAGAUUAAAACUCAAAGAAAUUGACGGGGACCCGCACAAGCGGUGGAGUAUGUGGCUUAAUUCGAUGCAACGCGAAGAACCUUACCUGGGCUUGACAUGUAAUGAACAACAUGUGAAAGCAUGCGACUCUUCGGAGGCGUUACACAGGUGCUGCAUGGCCGUCGUCAGCUCGUGUCGUGAGAUGUUUGGUUAAGUCCAGCAACGAGCGCAACCCCUGUUGCCAGUUACCAGCACGUGAAGGUGGGGACUCUGGCGAGACUGCCCAGAUCAACUGGGAGGAAGGUGGGGACGACGUCAGGUCAGUAUGGCCCUUAUGCCCAGGGCUGCACACGUACUACAAUGCCCAGUACAGAGGGGGCCGAAGCCGCGAGGCGGAGGAAAUCCUGAAAACUGGGCCCAGUUCGGACUGUAGGCUGCAACCCGCCUACACGAAGCCGGAAUCGCUAGUAAUGGCGCAUCAGCUACGGCGCCGUGAAUACGUUCCCGGGUCUUGUACUCAGCGCCCGUC